AUUCUCCCGUGACGGUGACUCCAACGGUUGGCUGAGGACGAUUCCCUGAGCCUUGACAAAGCAGGAGCCCUCCGUGGCGGUGCGUCGGUGUCGAGGCUCCAGUCUGACUAAUCCAGGGGGUCGACAAAACAGAUUCGGGACACUAUGCUACACGGAGGGCCUACCAGGAUGCAGAAACAGCAGACGGAGUCCAGGGAAAGCAGUGCGGCAUCCCAGCCUCAGGCCUGCCCGUACGGUGUUCGGACGGAAUGAAGUUGAUAAUAGUGAGACCUUGUUGGUACAAGACUAUGUAACAUAACCUGCGCUUCUCAACAAAGAAUUGCUUUUCUGACUUCUGCACUCAGUUCUUUCCUCCAGCUCACUUUAUUGUAAGAACCUUGGUGUCUGUAAUCGGCUCGGAACCCUUGCUGCUCUUUCACUGAAUAUCGCUGUCUGGAGGUUACUUGGUACACUGGUCGACAAAACCUUGAAAUGUUGAUGUUUAAGGGCUGUUGAUUGCUGGCAGCAAAGAAGUCCAACUGUGCUGGUACCCGAGAUAGCGUCUCCACAUUUUCUUCCAGGAUCAUCACCUUUGUUCUAAAUAGCUCCCACAUAGUGUGAACAGAAGUCAUAUGUUUUAGAUUUUCUGCCUUGGCACCCAGGAAACCAGUAUGAUUGAGUAAACAUAUUAAACUUCCUCUGCAUUUCCAGCCUGAACAGAUGUUGAGUACAAGCUGAUCCACCUACGUUCAACCUGAGAGAGUCCACAUCCACAGACUGUUUCAUUUCCCUUUUUCAAUUUACAUAGAAGCAUAGAUUCUUGCUGGCAUAUACAAAUGCGCCAUUUAAGGCAAUCAAAAAUGGUUCCACAUCUCAUCUGAUUUCCACAAUUGUUGCUGUAACGAUGGACUACUGAGGAGAGAGACAAUUUCUCUGGCACAUCUUCCCACAUUUUAGCAACAUGUUCAUGGAGAGCCAAUAUUCAGUAAUUACAGCCCAAUUCCUCACAAUUUCACAAUUCGCUAACAAUAUGCAUUUUCACAAUGUAAAGCUGAUUUUCCUUUAACCAAAUCAAACAUGAAAAGAUAGCUGCAUGCAAUGGGCAAUCUAGAUCAUUAGAAGAUUGAUGUAAAAUUAGAGGACACUGAGACUGGAAUAGAUUGCAAACUUCAGGGAGCUCAGAAAACUUGUAAACUCUACAUUUUGAGGAAAUAUGUUGUCGAUGCUUUUGCAACUCUAUGCAGUAACUUAACAAAUAAAGCCUUAAAGUAAC
rnacentral:lncRNA from 1 species